rnacentral:rRNA from 1 species
AGUCGAACGGGAUUGAGAAGCUUGCUUUUCAUGAGAGUGGCGCACGGGUGCGUAACACGUAUGUAACCUACCUUAAUCUGGGGGAUAGCCUCUCGAAAGAGAGAUUAACACCGCAUAACAUUACUGAAUAGCAUUUUUUGGUAAUCAAAUAUUUAUAGGAUUAAGAUGGGCAUGCGGAACAUUAGCUAGUUGGUAAGGUAAUGGCUUACCAAGGCUACGAUGUUUAGGGGAUCUGAGAGGAUGACCCCCCACACUGGUACUGAGACACGGACCAGACUCCUACGGGAGGCAGCAGUAAGGAAUAUUGGUCAAUGGGCGCAAGCCUGAACCAGCCAUGCCGCGUGCAGGAAGACGGCCCUACGGGUUGUAAACUGCUUUUGUACCGGAAUAAACCUUUUCACGUGUGAGAAGCUGAAUGUACGGUAAGAAUAAGGAUCGGCUAACUCCGUGCCAGCA